CCAUCCUCCUCCCUCCAGCGGGCAGGGCGAGGUGGCCCCUAAGGGGUCACUUCCCCAUCCACCCCCCACAGGCAGAGGCCCGGGCCGGGAGCUCAAGCGGCUUUCUCAAAGCCACUGCUCACUCCCCCAGACACCUGCCAGGGACCGCCUGUUAACCCUCCUGGCGACAGCCACCCCGCAGCCCCUGGGCACCUGAGCCAGGUGCUUCGGGCUUGUAACCCAGACAACCGUGUGGGGGGCUUUCAGGCCUUUUCAGGUGAAGAAAGGAAGGCCAAGGAGGCAAGGAGACUGCCCAAGGUCACACAGCUCCAACCGCACAGCUAGAAUUUUUCUGCCCCAACUUCUUAUUUCAUUUUAGAGGCUAUCAUAACCAGCAUCCGUCUUUGCCUUCCUGAACUUGACUAAGUGCCUUAGGAUGCUCAGAAUCCUGUUGAGGAAACUGCCUUGGAGGGAAGCUGGAAAACAGAAUACUCCAUCCCAAGUGUGACUUGCUAGCUGUGGGACUGCAAGAGUGGGGCGGCCAAGCCCCUCUCCAGGCUAUGUCUGAAAGAGGAUUCCAAGGUUGACUUGAAAAAAGAAAGAAAAAUAAAGGGCGCCUGGCUGGCUCAGUCCGUGAAGCAUCUGCCUUUGGCUCAGGUCAUCAUGAUCUCAGGUUCUGGGAUAGAACCCCUGCA